rnacentral:rRNA from 1 species
GAUGAACGCUGGCGGCGUGCCUAAUACAUGCAAGUCGAGCGAACGGACGAGAAGCUUGCUUCUCUGAUGUUAGCGGCGGACGGGUGAGUAACACGUGGAUAACCUACCUAUAAGACUGGGAUAACUUCGGGAAACCGGAGCUAAUACCGGAUAAUAUUUUGAACCGCAUGGUUCAAAAGUGGAAGACGGUCUUGCUGUCACUUAUAGAUGGAUCCGCGCUGCAUUAGCUAGUUGGUAAGGUAACGGCUUACCAAGGCAACGAUGCAUAGCCGACCUGAGAGGGUGAUCGGCCACACUGGAACUGAGACACGGUCCAGACUCCUACGGGAGGCAGCAGUAGGGAAUCUUCCGCAAUGGGCGAAAGCCUGACGGAGCAACGCCGCGUGAGUGAUGAAGGUCUUCGGGUCGUAAAACUCUGUUAUUAGGGAAGAACAUAUGUGUAAGUAACUGUGCACAUCUUGACGGUACCUAAUCAGAAAGCCACGGCUAACUACGUG